rnacentral:rRNA from 1 species
UACCCGCGGCCCGAGUGGUGCUCAUUAUUAUUGAGCCUAAAGCGUUCGUAGCUGGCCGGGUAAAUCCUUGGGGAAAUCGGGCGACCUAAUCGACCGAAGACCAGGGACACUACUUGGCUUGGGAUCGGGAGAGGGUGAUAGUACUUCCUGGGUAGGGGUAAAAUCCUGUAAUCCAGGGGGGACUACCAGUGGCGAAGGCGAUCACCUAGAACGAAUCCGACAGUGAGGGACGAAGCCCUAGGGCGCAAACGGGAUUAGAUACCCCGGUAGUCUAGGGUGUAAACGCUGCAGACUUGGUGUUGGGGGUCCUGAGGGGACACCCAGUGCCGGAGCGAAGGUGUUAAGUCUGCCGCUUGGGGAGUACGCUCGCAAGAGUGAAACUUAAAGGAAUUGGCGGGGGAGCACCGCAACGGGAGUAGCGUGCGGUUCAAUUGGAUUCAACGCCGGAAAACUCACCGGGAGCGACGGAAGGAUGAAGGCCAAGCUGAAGACUUUGCUCGAUCUUCCGAGAGGUGGUGCAUGGCCGUCGUCAGUUCGUACCGUAAGGCGUUCUGUUAAGUCAGAUAACGAACGAGACCCUCGCCUUCAAUCGCGAGCUCGUCCGAGAGGGCGGGUGCACUUUGAAGGGAUCGCCGCUGCUAAAGCGGAGGAAGGGGAGGUCUACGGUAGGUCCGUAUGCCCCGAAUCUCCCGGGCGACACGCGCGCUACAUUGGUGGGACAAUGGGAUCCGACCCCGAGAGGGGAAGGCAAUCCUGAAACCCAUUCUCAGUCUGGACUGAGGGCUGUAACUCGCCCUCACGAAAAUGGAUUCCGUAGUAAUCGCGAGUCAACAUCUCGCGGUGAAUAUGCCCCUGCUCCU